rnacentral:rRNA from 1 species
CGCUAUCAUCCUACGGGAGGCAGCAGUGGGGAAUAUUGCACAAUGGGGGAAACCCUGAUGCAGCCAUGCCGCGUGUGUGAAGAAGGCCUUCGGGUUGUAAAGCACUUUCAGUAGGGAGGAAGGUAGUGUAGUUAACACCUGCAUUAUUUGACGUUACCUACAGAAGAAGCACCGGCUAACUCCGUGCCAGCAGCCGCGGUAAUACGGAGGGUGCGAGCGUUAAUCGGAAUUACUGGGCGUAAAGCGCAUGCAGGCGGCCUGUUAAGUCAGAUGUGAAAGCCCGGGGCUUAACCUCGGAAUUGCAUUUGAAACUGGCAGGCUAGAGUCUUGUAGAGGGGGUAGAAUUUCAGGUGUAGCGGUGAAAAUGCGUAGAGAUCUGAAGGAAUACCAGUGGCGAAGGCGGCCCCCUGGACAAAGACUGACGCUCAGAUGCGAAAGCGUGGGGAGCAAACAGGAUUAGAUACCCUGGUAG